GCCACCCUCUCACCUGGCCGGCCGGUGCGCGUGCGCAUGCGCGCGCCUGGAGCCCUGGACCUGGGAGCCUUUGCAAAGGCUCUGGCCUCAGUGACAGUAAUCCCAGCAGCUGGUCUCCAGGGCAUAUGUGUGCCCAGUGCUUUUACAACUCCCAUCGGGUCCUCGCAGCAGCCCCCAAGAAAUGGGUAUUACCAUACUCCCCAUUCCAGAGAGGAAGAAAUGGAGGCCUGGCAAGGUUAAGUCACUAGCUCCAGGACACAAGAACCUGAGAGAGGAAGAGACCAGAUUGGAGGGCACAGCACAUUCAUGAGAGAGGAGACAUGCAAUGCAACUCCCAGAGCAGAGUAUGAAAUGAAUUUAGAAGAAAUGAGUUGUUCCGAUAAGAAAAAAAGAUGAAAAGGCUUUGUGGCUUCCUCCUGGCUCUCUUUUCUCCAUUGCUCAUUCUGGAGGGAGCCAGCUGCCAUGUUCUGAGGACACUCAAGCAGCCACGUGACAAGGAACAGAGGGCUCCCUCCAACAGCCAGUCCCAACUUGAUCCACCUUCCAGGUGUAUCCACUGGUCCCAGCAAGACUUUAGGUGACUGCACCUCACGAGAAACCUUGAAUUGGAAUGACCACCCCUGAGUGGCUUCUGAAUUCCUGACCUAUAG